rnacentral:rRNA from 1 species
UAACACAUGCAAGUCGAGGGGCAGCAUGGUCUUAGCUUGCUAAGGCCGAUGGCGACCGGCGCACGGGUGAGUAACACGUAUCCAACCUGCCGUCUACUCUUGGACAGCCUUCUGAAAGGAAGAUUAAUACAAGAUGGCAUCAUGAGUCCGCAUGUUCACAUGAUUAAAGGUAUUCCGGUAGACGAUGGGGAUGCGUUCCAUUAGAUAGUAGGCGGGGUAACGGCCCACCUAGUCUUCGAUGGAUAGGGGUUCUGAGAGGAAGGUCCCCCACAUUGGAACUGAGACACGGUCCAAACUCCUACGGGAGGCAGCAGUGAGGAAUAUUGGUCAAUGGGCGAGAGCCUGAACCAGCCAAGUAGCGUGAAGGAUGACUGCCCUAUGGGUUGUAAACUUCUUUUAUAAAGGAAUAAAGUCGGGUAUGGAUACCCGUUUGCAUGUACUUUAUGAAUAAGGAUCGGCUAACUCCGUGCCAGCAGCCGCGGUAAUACGGAGGAUCCGAGCGUUAUCCGGAUUUAUUGGGUUUAAAGGGAGCGUAGAUGGAUGUUUAAGUCAGUUGUGAAAGUUUGCGGCUCAACCGUAAAAUUGCAGUUGAUACUGGAUAUCUUGAGUGCAGUUGAGGCAGGCGGAAUUCGUGGUGUAGCGGUGAAAUGCUUAGAUAUCACGAAGAACUCCGAUUGCGAAGGCAGCCUGCUAAGCUGCAACUGACAUUG